AAGCAGGGGGUCGUGGCUGUGAUGUGGAAUGGAUGAAGCUCUGUGAUUAGCUGAGACUGGAAAUGAAUGAAGAAGGAUCACGGACAGGCACGGCCAUGACACGAGUUAUGUGUCUCUGAUCACAUCUCCUUUGAUGUCAUGUUUUAUCUCCUUUGAUGUCGUGUGUCAGUGCUGGACUUCACACUGCUCCUCAAUAUCACAAGAGAAACUAAAGCUCAAUAUCAGAAUUAAGUGUAAUUGGGACACGCCCAUAUUUUACACAGACCCCGCCCCCUGACUCUAACGUUAGAGGUCUAAAGUGUGUAAAGUCCGUGUUCAAUUCUCAUUGAACUGCAAACUGAUGUUAUGUGACGUGAUGUUGUGUGACGUGAUGUUGUGUGACGUGAUGUUGUGUGACGUGAUGUUGUGUGACGUGAU